UACGGGAGGCAGCAGUGGGGAAUAUUGCACAAUGGACGCAAGCCUGAUGCAGCCAUGCCGCGUGUAUGAAAAAGGCCUUCGGGUUGUAAAGUACUUUCAGUCGUGAGGAAGGUGUUAAGGUUAAUAACCUUAGCAAUUGACGUUAGCGACAGAAGAAGCACCGGCUAACUCCGUGCCAGCAGCCGCGGUAAUACGGAGGGUGCGAGCGUUAAUCGGAAUUACUGGGCGUAAAGGGCACGCAGGCGGUUAAUUAAGUUGGAUGUGAAAUCCCCGGGCUUAACCUGGGAAUGGCAUUCCAAGACUGGUUAGCUAGAGUCUUGUAGAGGGGGUAGAAUUCCAUGUGUAGCGGUGAAAUGCGUAGAGAUGUGGAGGAAUACCGGUGGCGAAGGCGGCCCCUGGACAAAGACUGACGCUCAUGUGCGAAAGCGUGGGGAGCAAACAGGGAUUAGAUACC
rnacentral:rRNA from 1 species